UACGUAGGGUGCAAGCGUUAAUCGGAAUUACUGGGCGUAAAGCGUGCGCAGGCGGUUUUGUAAGUCUGAUGUGAAAUCCCCGGGCUCAACCUGGGAAUUGCAUUGGAGACUGCAAGGCUAGAAUCUGGCAGAGGGGGGUAGAAUUCCACGUGUGAGCAGUGAAAUGCGUAGAGAUGUGGAGGAACACCGAUGGCGAAGGCAGCCCCCUGGGCAAGAUUGA
rnacentral:rRNA from 1 species